rnacentral:lncRNA from 1 species
AAAUUAUUCACAUUAACACGUGCACAUCUUCUCCUCACCUAACAAAGCAUAGAAGGAUACGGCAUUUCUCACUCUGUGAUUCUUAGUUCAAAAUGUCCCAAAAUAUGAAAAUAGAAGCAACUUCCAACUGAGAAACUGUUUUUCCCCCACUAAACAAGCAAAGCCUAUAUCUUCCCUGUGGACCCCUGACACAGCUAGCUGCAGGGAGUGUUGCUGGGUG